rnacentral:rRNA from 1 species
AGUGAACGCUGGCGGUAGGCCUAACACAUGCAAGUCGAACGGCAGCACAGUAAGAGCUUGCUCUUACGGGUGGCGAGUGGCGGACGGGUGAGGAAUACAUCGGAAUCUACUUUUUCGUGGGGGAUAACGUAGGGAAACUUACGCUAAUAUCGCAUACGACCUACGGGUGAAAGCAGGGGAUCUUCGGACCUUGCGCGAUUGAAUGAGCCGAUGUCGGAUUAGCUAGUUGGCGGGGUAAAGGCCCACCAAGGCGACGAUCCGUAGCUGGUCUGAGAGGAUGAUCAGCCACACUGGAACUGAGACACGGUCCAGACUCCUACGGGAGGCAGCAGUGGGGAAUAUUGGACAAUGGGCGCAAGCCUGAUCCAGCCAUACCGCGUGGGAGAAGAAGGCCUUCGGGUUGUAAAGCCCUUUUGUUGGGAAAGAAAAGCAGCAGGUUAAUACCCCGCUGUUCUGACGGUACCCAAAGAAUAAGCACCGGCUAACUUCGUG